CGGGGUGAGUAACGCGUGGGUAACCUGCCUCAUACAGGGGGAUAACGAUUGGAAACGAUUGCUAAUACCGCAUAAGCGCACAGUACCACAUGGUGCAGUGUGAAAAACUCCGGUGGUAUGAGAUGGACCCGCGUCUGAUUAGCUAGUUGGUGAGGUAACGGCCCACCAAGGCAACGAUCGGUAGCCGGACUGAGAGGUUGAACGGCCACAUUGGGACUGAGACACGGCCCAG
rnacentral:rRNA from 1 species